CGUCCCGGGGCGGCCCGAAACCCGCCUCCACUCGGGACCUUGACCUCGCCGCCACACUUAGCUCUCCCUGACCUGCUUUUGAACCCGCUAAUCCCGCCCCGAAUUCUCGCCCCGCGGCGAUCCUUCGCGCUGGCCCUGGCGGGCACACUAAUUCCAGCUGACUCGCCGCCCCGCCUCUUCGCGUCUCCCGGCAAGGCUCCCACCAACAGCCCGCUUCUCCCCAGCCCAGGCGCGAUGCUCUCGGGCCCUGUCUCUUGCAUUAUCUCCUUCCUUUGCAUUACCUUACUCUAAUUCCUUAAAAAAAAAAAAAAAAAAAACUAUCAGACACAAAAAGAUCCAAAACGCAGGUAAUACACAUGUACACCUGGAGGUGCUGGGAGGUUGCAGCACAGAGCCAGGGUGGCUGCUGGUGAUGUGACUUCAUUCCGACUUUUAGGGGUAAGAGAUUAAAGUCUGAGACUGAGGUGCACGUAGGGGCUUUUGCAUUUGGGACUGAAAGUCUGGACAGCCACCU
rfam:Erinaceus europaeus unplaced genomic scaffold scaffold00210, whole genome shotgun sequence